GUGCCAACCGCCGCGGUAAAAGCAACUCCUCGAAUGGUCGGGAUAAUUAUUGGGCCUAAAGCGUCCGUAGCCGGUCUGGUAAGUCCCCGGUUAAAUCCGGCAGCCUAACUGUCGGCCUGCUGGGGAUACUGCUAGACUUGGGGGUGGGAUAGGCUAAAGGUACUCCCAGGGUAGGGGUGAAAUCCUAUAAUCCUGGGGGGACCACCAGUGGCGAAGGCGUUUAGCUGGAACACGCCCGACGGUGAGGGACGAAAGCCAGGGGAGCAAACCGGAUUAGAUACCCGGGUAGUCC
rnacentral:rRNA from 1 species